rnacentral:rRNA from 1 species
GUCCGACCUCCCCUCCCCUCUCUCUCUCUCUUAUUAGUGGAGCACCUCUCUGUCCCAAGGUCCACAACAGCGCUUCCGGCCUUACCCACUGCCUCUCUCUCUCCAUUUUACCUUCUCCCUCCGCCGCCAGCUAGGGUUACGGCCGCCGGGUGGCGCAGCUCAACAAUACCUCUCACAGCGCCGGUGGGUGGCGGCGACGCGUCGACUGGGGGCGCGGGGCCAGGGCCAGAGGUGGACGCGGGCUUCGAGUUCGCCUUCGACAAUGAGGCCUUCUCCGACAGGGAGCUGCGUAUAGUGGUCGUCGGCGCCAACGACGCCGCCAGCCGCAAGCGCCGGCGCGAGGAGGCCGAAGGUGAUGGUGGAGAAGAUAUCGACUCUUAUACUGUGAUGAGUACACCCGUUUUACGAGUUGAAACUAUACAUGUCUGCUCGGCGAUUCUUGCUGCAAAAAGUAAUUUCUUUCGCAAGCUUUUCUCAAAUGGCAUGAAGGAAUCUGGCCACAGACAGGCAACAGUUACAAUUGCUGAAUCAGAGUACGAAGCCUUCCUGGAGCUUUUACACUUUAUUUAUAGUGGAAAGCUGGCACCAACUGAACCCAUUCUUCUGGUUGAUAUCCUGCUGGCCGCUGAUAAAUUUGAGGCUGCUUCUUGCAUUAAGCUUUGCGGUCAACGGCUCAUAGACCUGCCUAUGACCGCAGAAUCUGCAGUAAUGUGCCUAGAUCUCCCAUGUUCCAUUUCAAUGGCACCUGCCCUGGAAGAGGCGGCCAAGAAAUUCCUUGCUAAAAGAUACGAUAAAUUCCUGUCGACAGAGUUUCAGGGUGAACUGAUGAGGAUAUCUCUCACUGGGAUUGUAGCCAUUUUAUCAAGGAAUCACCCCGGGGUUGCAUCUGAAGAAUCCGUCUAUGACUUUGUGCUCAGGUGGGCCUGCUUUCAGUAUCCAAAUUCAGAAGAAAGGCACAAGAUUUUGAGUUCAAGCUUACUUCCACUGGUGCCAGUAGUGCGCAGCAUGACCAAUGGCAUCCUGAUGGACCAGCCGUCCUGUAUAGUUGACUUUACUCUAAGUCAUGGGCAAUGCUCGGGGCUCUUCCCAUCAGGAUCGAUACGCUCCCCGCCGUUCUAUUGUGCAGGGCAUGGUUUCUUCCUCUCAGCGCACGGUAAAAUGGCGCUGUCCAACUUUUUUGGCCUCUCAAUAGAGAAGCUAGAAGACAAGGGGCCAUUAAGAGGGACAAUAGAUUAUGAGAUUUGAGGUAAAAACAAGACCAUCGCUGGAGUUUCUCUUCUUGUGGAGGCGCACCACUACCACCGAUAGUAAACAGGCUUUUGGAUGCGGGAUUUCUUGGCCAGACGUCAUUGGUGAAAACUGUUAAGUAUAUAUGUUGUGUUUGUCUUGUACAGGCCCAAGCCCAUAGUCUAGAGUGAGGCCCAGGUCCAUGUAACCUUGUAUAUAUCUCUCUUCUCAAUACAGAAAACUGUUCGGUCAUUCUCUCUUCCUCACGUUUUCUAACAUGGUAUCAGACCAGGACCAAACCCUAGUCCCUUUUCCAGCUGCCACCCAUGAAAUCGCUGUCGGUAAGGUGAUUCAGGCGGAUCUGUCUGGUGAGGAGACAUUCACAUCGCUGCCCCAUCCCAUCUUCGUCAUCAACCUGUAGGAGCUGCUCUCCAGCAGCUCCUUUGUGUGUCCUCACAGCUACUCUGUGAGAAUACUUCCCCUGCUCUCCAUCAGCCAUCUCCAGCAAGCUCUUGGUGCCUUCCCUGCUCUACAGCAAGCUCCAGGUGUUCCCCUUCU